UCUGCCUUGGCUUUCAGAACCACU
rnacentral:piRNA from 1 species